UGGAAUAACCGCACUUGGUUAUGGUGUAUAACUCUUUUUACAUAUUCUGCAUUAUGAUUGGAAAUAUUUAUUUUUUAUUUUUUUGACAUCUUUAUUGGAGUAUAAUUGCUUUACAAUGCACUUGAAGAAUAUUCCUCUUCCUCCUGGCCUCCAUGGAUUCUGAUGAGAAAUCUGCUGUCACCUGAAUUGGUUUUCAUCUAUAGAACUCUGAUGACACGAAAGACAUACCUUUUGUUACAAUCCCACAGAUCCCUAUGGCUCUGCUUAUCUUUUUAUUUUUAUUCUAACUUUUCUCCAUUAGUCAGACUGAGUAAUUUCUAUUGUUCUACUUUACAUCUCACUGAUUGUUUUCUUCUGUCUCCUUCAUUCUGCUGUUGAGCUCAUCCACUGAGCUUUUAAUUUCAGUUACUGUAUUUUUCAGUUCUAAAAUUUCUAUUUGAUUUUUUUAAUAUCUUCUCUUUCUUUGCUGACACUUUCAACUUAUUUGCUGAGUGUUUUUAUUUUUCCAUUAGUUUAAAGUGUGUUUAUAAUGGC